rnacentral:lncRNA from 1 species
UGUUGAGGACUAAUGGUGACAAUUCCAUCCUUUAUGUGAUUAGCUGUGAUGUGUUGCAUUUCAUGAAAGCAUGAAUAAGAAAAAGAAAGAAAAAGUUAAAUAAUAUGAUAAAAUAAAAUAAAAUGAAUAAUAAUAAUAAAAUGAAUAAUAAUAAUAAAAUGAAUAAUAAUAUACCUAAAAAUGGAGGAAUUAAAGCAAAUGUUUUUAGUUUCUGCUCAUUGGGCUUUAUAGCUCACCCCCUCUCCCCUAACCCCAGUCUUGCAGGUGCAGAGUAGAUAGAGAAGUCAGCAGAGUAAGAGAAGUUUAUGUAAUAGCUUAGCUGUGGACAUGGUUUGUUGGUAAUGUAAAAAUAUGAGAUGUAAUGUAAUGUAAGUUUAAUAAUGUGCUUGACUAGAGUCUGUUGUAUUCCCUGUACACAUGGUCUUGUAUGAGAUAUAAUGUUUUUAUGAUGCCUAUGUUAUCCAAGCCUAUGUUAUGUUAUGUUACCCCAUUGGAGUAUUUGAUGAGGACUCCAAUGAGAGGUUUAUGUUAUGUUUGUGCAUGCACAGGCUAGGCUUGGCAAAGAAAUGUUUGAAUGAAAGAAAAGUUUUUAAUUUUUUUAUGUAUGUUGUUGACCAUGUAUGGGAUUAAACAGGUUCACAGGA